GACGAACGCUGGCGGCGUGCCUAAUACAUGCAAGUAGAACGCUGAAGAGAGGAGCUUGCUCUUCUUGGAUGAGUUGCGAACGGGUGAGUAACGCGUAGGUAACCUGCCUUGUAGCGGGGGAUAACUAUUGGAAACGAUAGCUAAUACCGCAUAACAAUGGAUGACACAUGUCAUUUAUUUGAAAGGGGCAAUUGCUCCACUACAAGAUGGACCUGCGUUGUAUUAGCUAGUAGGUGAGGUAACGGCUCACCUAGGCGACGAUACAUAGCCGACCUGAGAGGGUGAUCGGCCACACUGGGACUGAGACACGGCCCAGACUCCUACGGGAGGCAGCAGUAGGGAAUCUUCGGCAAUGGGGGCAACCCUGACCGAGCAACGCCGCGUGAGUGAAGAAGGUUUUCGGAUCGUAAAGCUCUGUUGUAAGUCAAGAACGAGUGUGAGAGUGGAAAGUUCACACUGUGACGGUAGCUUACCAGAAAGGGACGGCUAACUACGUGCCAGCAGCCGCGGUAAUACGUAGGUCCCGAGCGUUGUCCGGAUUUACUGAGCGUAAAGCGAGCGCAGGCGGUUUGAUAAGUCUGAAGUUAAAGGGCUGUGGCUCAACCAUAGUUCGCUUUGGAAACUGUCAAACUUGAGUGCAGAAGGGGAGAGUGGAAUUCCAUGUGUAGCGGUGAAAUGCGUAGAUAUAUGGAGGAACACCGGUGGCGAAAGCGGCUCUCUGGUCUGUAACUGACGCUGAGACUCGAAAGCGUGGGGAGCGAACAGGAUUAGAUACCCUGGUAGUCCACGCCGUAAACGAUGAGUGCUAGGUGUUGGAUCCUUUCCGGGAUUCAGUGCCGCAGCUAACGCAUUAAGCACUCCGCCUGGGGAGUACGACCGCAAGGUUGAAACUCAAAGGAAUUGACGGGGGCCCGCACAAGCGGUGGAGCAUGUGGUUUAAUUCGAAGCAACGCGAAGAACCUUACCAGGUCUUGACAUCCCGAUGCUAUUUCUAGAGAUAGAAAGUUACUUCGGUACAUCGGUGACAGGUGGUGCAUGGUUGUCGUCAGCUCGUGUCGUGAGAUGUUGGGUUAAGUCCCGCAACGAGCGCAACCCCUAUUGUUAGUUGCCAUCAUUCAGUUGGGCACUCUAGCGAGACUGCCGGUAAUAAACCGGAGGAAGGUGGGGAUGACGUCAAAUCAUCGUGCCCCUUAUGACCUGGGCUACACACGUGCUACAAUGGUUGGUACAACGAGUUGCGAGUCGGUGACGGCAAGCUAAUCUCUUAAAGCCAAUCUCAGUUCGGAUUGUAGGCUGCAACUCGCCUACAUGAAGUCGGAAUCGCUAGUAAUCGCGGAUCAGCACGCCGCGGUGAAUACGUUCCCGGGCCU
rnacentral:rRNA from 1 species